GUUUUUAUAGUUUAAAUAAAACAUUGGUCUUGUAAAUCAAAAUUAAGAAUAAUUCUUUUAAAACU
rnacentral:tRNA from 1 species